rnacentral:tRNA from 1 species
CCGCCCAUAGCUCAGCUGGAUAGAGCACCAGGCUUCGAACCUGGGUGUCGGGAGUUCGAAUCUCUCUGGGCGUGCCA